AGACACUCUUUAAAUACCCCAUCACCCAGUACAUUACUGCGCCCUGUGUAUUUCGAAUGAUUCUGCAGGAGAAUUUUGGCAGGUUCCCCACUCUGGAGCAUUGCUCUACUGGCGGGGAGGCCGUGCUGCCCGAGGAGCAAGUGAAGUGGAGACAACGGACAGUCCUUCUGCUCUACCAGCUCUACGGACAGUCGGAAACGGGAUUGACUUGCGGCACCCC